rnacentral:snRNA from 1 species
GUUCUUGCUUCAGGAGCACAUAUACUAAUAUUGGAAUGAUACAGAGAAGACUAGCAUGGCCCCUGCUCAAGGAUGAUAUGCAAAUUCAUGAAACGUUUCAUAUUUUU